GUUCAGAGUUUCCAGGGAGGAACUGAGACAUGCAGGAGGGGCCGGCACCAUCUGAGGCUGCAGAGGAGGUCUCUGGUCAUUUUUCCCGUGGUUGCAGCACAAGCAAUUAUUUCACCCACAAGUGGAGGCUGGUUUACUUCUUUUCAGCUCUUAUGACAGCGUGUGUAGCUGUGGAAAUGCAGGAUGGCUCAGCAUGCCGGGAGAAUGGAGGACACCCCCACCGCGCUCGGCCUCGCUUGUCGGCCAGUUGCAUUUCUCAGGCUGUAUGCCCCUGCACGGAGCUGCGAUGCCACCGAGGGGGCCUUGUCGUCUUUGUUCUUGGUUCUUCGCUGCCGGAUUUGUGAGAGAACUUCAGUGUUGAGGAAACUAAGCCUUGGUCACUCGUCGAAAACACCUUAUUCUCUGUUUACCAUUUGGCUUGAGACGUCGUCUGCUGUGUGAAAAGACUGCAUUGUUGUGAUAGGGUAUUUACCCCUCUUUCUUUCAUGGAUUCUUGGUUUCUGGCCCACUCCAUUCGAAGAUUAUAUUUUACAAAAUCUGUUUCCUUCUAGUAAGAUCAUGGUUUCAUCUUUUAGGGUUAAUUCCUUACUCUUAUGGAAUUUAUUUGGGUGCAGGGAGUAAGAUGGGGACCCGUUUGAGCCAGUUUGUCCCAACUCACGGAAUAAGCCAAGCGUCUCCCACGGGCUGGAAACACCCCUUUAUUGUGGAUCAGCUUCUGGGUAUUGGAUCUCCUUUCAGGAUGCUGGUCCCCUUCAUGGGUCCAUUUGUCUUUCCGCCUACCAGGCCC
rnacentral:lncRNA from 1 species